rnacentral:sRNA from 1 species
UGCCUAAACUUUGCAAAAGCGAAGCAUGGCACAAUAAGAAAUUCCCGACCAAGAUAGCAACCUCCUCAUCAGGAGACGCUCUUGGUCGGGUCGUAGUCAUCGAAAGAUGCUAUGGGCAGUUCGAAAGGGCUGUC